rnacentral:lncRNA from 1 species
GUUAAAAUAUGAGGCUAUAUCUAGAGGUCAUUGAGAAGUAUGAGAGAUUUCUCUUUUUAGUUCAAAAAUUUUAGUUCUGUUAGCAGUACCACAUCAAGCUUCGAGCUGUGCCCAUAUACUUUGUGCAGUAUCAGAAUACUGCACACUCUCAGCUAUCUAAGGAGAUAAGGAAGCAGUUAACCAGGAGAUUACCAUAUUGUACAUCUGUCCCAUAACUUUUGUUCAGCCACAUUAGUGUCUGGUCGGGGACAUGUACCAUCAACAAAGCCAAUUUUAUUCUUAGCAGACAGGGCGAAAAUCAUUUUCCUCUUCCAACCCCCAUAGCCACUACCCGAGAAGGGAGUGGAGACAAGAGAAAAUCCAACAAUAUCAGAGGAGUAAACAAAAAGAUGGCUGGUAGGGUCAAUAGAGGACGUAUUAACACUCAUGUUAGAAGUCAUGAACAACAAUGAGUUUGAAAUCAAAAAUAGUCUCGGUAAAUAAUUUGGAAACUUAGAGUUGUAUCAAAACCACAUGCAAAGCAUAUAGCACCUAGAACAAGAAUAGAUUUACCCGCCUUCUUCGCGACCGGAGAAGAACGGCCUUCGAUUGACAGAGAAAACAAUAGAUUUACCCGCCUUCUUCGCGACCGGAGAAGAACGGCCUUCGACUGAGAGAGAAAACCCUAGCUCCAAACAGUAGAAACCCUAGAACCUGGAAACUUACCGGAAUCAGUUCGAGGGCGUCGGAAAGCUACCCAAAACAUCCACCCAAGGAAGAUCGAACCAUCAGAUAGCGGUAAAAGUUCCGAUUGACCGCUCGAUACACAUAGGGUUUGUCAACAACAAAAUCUCUCACAAAUAUCCAAAAAAAAUCUUCAAUACAACUCUAACAGAGUUGAUAACAAAUGAUGGAGAAGCGUCCGAAGAUUUCCCCCUCUGAUACCAUGAAAACAUAGCAAAAUGGAGAUGAAAAUGAAGAAGGAGAGUCGGUUGAGAGAGAGCUUCUC